GACUCCGGUGGCUCAUGUGUUUAGAGCGUCCGCCUCUGAUACGGAAGUUCCUGAGUUCGAAUCCCGGCCAAGUCA